rnacentral:lncRNA from 1 species
GUUUGAGAUUGUAUUUAUCAAUUUUAAUUUGAAAGAUGUAACUUUUUUUUAUAAUUUUUUUGAUUUCUAAAGUAACAAUAGAAUCAUCAUCUUUCUGCCCGAAAAAAAAUAUACAACUCGAUAUCAUCAAGUAAUUUAUUAGAUGAAUAAAAUAUGAAAUAUAUACUGUAUGUACCUUAUCCAUGCAUAAUUCUUUAGUUGAUUUGCCUAUUAACCGUUGAGCGACUUUAUCAAAAAAGACAAACGAUGUAAAUCCAGUAUAAUCCUCCACAUAAUAUU